ACUCGAGCCUGCCUCGGCGGAAGCGCUAGCGGGCGACUCGGCCACCCUGCGCCGGCGCCCCUACCCAGCCGCCCGCCCGCACUUCCCUAUCCCGGGGGAGCCCGGAUGACUUGGGUCAGCCUCCGCUCGGGGAACUCCGCUAGGGAUUCCAAUAGGGACCGCGCGGGCGUGGCAAGGCGCCCCAGGCGGCCUCCCCGGCCCCCGAGGACGUGGGGCCUUGGGGAGUGCCUGGGAGGCCCCAGGCGGGCUUCCCAUCUCCUGGACACCCCCAGGCAGCCCUCCUAGACGCUCAAGACUCUGAGCCGGACUCCGAAUCCCUUCCUGGUCCAUCAAGGCGGCCGGCCUGGGGACAGGCGGGGAGACGUCACAGGAGAUACCCCCGCCCCAAGAUGCCUGAAACCUCCACGGGCUCCCACUGAACCUCCCAAAUCGAAGCCCCUACAACAUGCUCUCAACAUCUCCAGAACAUCUACUGAGGGUACCCAGGUCUUCUCCCUGUCACCUCCUCCCCUCGCCCUAUUCCAAGCCCCACCAUGAAGAGCUGUAAAUGACAUUGAUAGCCACGCACAUCAGGCUUCACAGACUUUCUUAAGGAUAGGCACAAGAAGACUCGUUAAAGUGUCAUGCAAACUCCAAAGCACAGGAAAACCGAAUGGAAUUAUCAUCUUGCCCCCAUGGAGCUCCACACCCCUCCACCCCGACAGACUUGCUGGAUUACAGAUUGGGAGAUGGAGGCAGGCUAUAGACAUACAAUUGAGCACACCAACCUGUAGUAGGAGUGGGAGUUAAUAAGGAAGAGAAGGAGGCACUAAACACCUAAAAGCAGCCCCCAAAUUGAGCUAGGUUGAAGUCAUUCUCCAUCUCAACCUCCACUCCGAAAUCCAACGCUGACAGUGGAUCCUUACCUUGCAAAGCCAGCUCUUGGUCCAGGAGACUGGCUGGGGAGGCCCUAGGGAGCUGAACUCAGCUGGACUGGACUUCUUUGACCUGCACUAGAGGGACCCUGGAGACUCUUCUUCACUGAAGGAAGGAGCAGAAAGCCUGAACAGCAGGAGGCUGAACUACAGGAAUCUCUGGUCACUCAUUGACAGGGCUGGCCUUAGCAGGGGACCCCCCACGGCUGGAGACUGAAGCUGACCGGGGCCAAGCAGCAGACAAGGAGGGGGAGGGGAGAGGCCGCCCUUUGCUGCCACCUGCUAUAGCUAAUGGAGGUGGAACACUCAAGAUCCAGAAUAUGCUGUGGGUACCAGGAAGUCCUAGGAUUUGAGGAGCGAGACUCUAGUUUUUCCUCUCUUCAUACUGUUUGAAGUCAUGAAAGUAAUUCUGAUGAACCUUCAUGAGGCAGAUCACAACAGUAAUAUUCAGGCUAUUUGGGUAUGUAAAAAAAGGAAGAAGGAAAAAACCCAAACUGUUGUAUCCCAUGUGCCAAGACCCAGCACUGAGGGGAGGGGUCCAGAUUGCAGUACCUCAGAGGCUUUUCACUUCAUUCUGUUUCACGGCCCCCAGCUCCUCUUUACUGUACUGGGCAGGAGGAAUUUCAGGGAAUAAUCAAGCCUGCCAUGGAGGCAGUGGAUGCUGAGGCAGAGGGUCGAAACAGCACCCAACUUCUCUCACUGACCUCCCAACACAGGGACCAGCUGACCCUAUGAUAAAGGCGCUGUGCAAUGUGUCCUCUCCCCUGCUGUGUCAGGCCUCUAUGUUCCCACAGUUAGAGCACUCAGGGGACUAAAGACCUACCGCCCCCACUCUCCAUCUCCGCCCUGCUCCACAUCUGGAGCCCAUCAAAAAACUCAGCGCUCUCUCACAGUUACGCAAGAGGUCGAGCAGCUGGGAGCUCAGGAAAGGGGGAGGAAGAGAGGGAAAGAAAGCAGAAAACAGCUUUCCAGGCCUGCUUCAGACUUUCCGAAGUGGAAGCAGGGGGAGAGGGCAAAGCCUGGGUGUGGAAGGAAGAGUGGAUUUUUCUAAGGCCCUUUGCAUUGGCUACAAGUGUCAGGAGUGAAUUUCCAUACUCCUGCUUUUGCCUUGGCACAUUCCCCACUUUGUCCCACCUCUCAAAUUGUACUCCCUCUAGCCCCAGAGAGGUGAUUAUUGCUCAUACAGCAAGCAAUCCUUGUAGAUACACACCCUCUUCCAGAAAGCUGUCCGUUUCUGGCCUCUGGAUCCUGAAGUCAGGCAUCAUUGGUGUAGGCGUGGUGGUAGCAAUGACCCUGCAGCAACUUGGGGAAAAGUUCAAAGCUCUCUUUUCAGCUGUCUUAGAAAUUGCAUAGUCUGCUUCGACCCAAAGCUAACAUGCAUCCAAGCUAAGUGGGAAAUUUGGGUAGGACAGAAGACUGGUCUUGUGUACCUCCAAGGCUAAGGGCUUUCCUAAUGAGCUAAAAGAACAAGCAUUCAUUUGGGCAAAAGAAUGGGAGACAAGACCUAUUUCAAUUUCUCUCAUUGUCUUGAAUUUCUAAUGCUUCUUUCAAACAGCCCCUGUCCUGGUUUGGUAAUCAAUCUGAUCACCCAGAGUAAACCUAGGGAAGCUUUCCAGUAUUGGUUUAGACCCUAAAUAACCACUUAGCCCCUGCCCUAAGAACAGCAGGGCAAAAAAACUGCGGUGGGGGAUGGGAGAAGUGGUCCAAGCUUCUGAAAACUGCCUAAUAGCUUGACUUGUGAUUGUGAGAGGGAAAACAGCCUGGUUUGGAAAGAUAGUCUAAUUUUUCUAAAGGCCUACCUCCGUAUCAAUCCCCAACUCCCCAGGAUAAGACGUUAAGGCAGCUAUUUGUAGUGUUGCUGUCUGCCCUUGGGUAACAGCAAUGCACAGCAACCAACCUACUUGUGGAUCUUCUAGGACAAGGGAAUUGGGGGUAAGGGGGUUGUAAUAAGACAGAUGUGCAUAGCAAAAGAAAAUCAUUUGUGAGGUUUUGCUUGAGAUUCCUCUAGAGCCUACAAGACAGAAGCCAUGUUACCUACUCUCAUAUAGAUCCAUGUUUAGUACUAGCUGUAGUUAACACUUGUCUAACUUGGAAAAAAAAAGGCUUCACAAGCAGAUAGUCAUUGCUUCCAGUUAGACUUUAAUCUUCUUGAGGAUGACUUUUUCCAUUUUUCUCCUGUCUCCUUCCAAUAAGCCCUGUCAGAUGUGAAGUUUAAUAAAAAGCUAUUCUAUAUCAACCCUGGAAAUCUCAGACCCUAGCCAGUGUGAACAACUUUAAAACUGUUCACAAUUUAAAAAUUAAUUGGAGGGCAAAGUUUCCCAUCAGAGAUGCAUGGGUUGACAAAUUUGAAGCUAUGGUGAGUAAAGGAAUGACAGACCUUAAUCAUUUCAUUCGAUUAAGGCUACAGUCUCAGACAGCUAAGCCACACUUGAGCAACAUUAGACCAGAUACUUUUUUUCACCAAGAAAAAAAAAAUCAGAAUCUUGGCUUUCAACAUUAGAAAUUUCUCAUCCCAGAUACUUAAUAAGUGAGAAUAAUUUGCCUUCCAAUUUUUUGACACCCAAUAGUUUUUCCAAGUUAAAUUUUAAAAAAGCAUAAGAAAGUAAGCAGCUCUGGCGGAGCGCGGUGGCUCAGGCCUAUAAUCCCAGCACUUUGGGAGGCUGAGGCGGGCGGAUCACGAGGUCAGGAGUUUGAGACCAGUCUGACCAACAUGGUGAAACCGUCUCUACUAAAAAUACAAAAAUUAGCCGGGGGUGGUGGUGUGGAAUGCCUGUAAUCCCAGCUACUCAGGAGGCUGAGGCAGGAGAAUCACUUGAACCCUGGAGGUGGAGGUUGUGGUGAGCCGAAAUCAUGUCACUGCACUGCAGCCUGGUGACUGUCUCAAAAAAAAAAAAAAAAAAGGCUGGGCGCGGUGGCUCACGCCUGUAAUCCAGCACUUUGGGAGGCAGAGGUGGGCGAAUCAUCUGAGACCAGGAGUUCAAGACCAGCCUGACCAACAUGGUGAAACCGUCUCUACGAAAAUACAAAAAAAAUUAGCCCGGCAUGAUGGCGGGUGACUGUAAUCCCAGCUACUCUGGAGGCUGAGGCAGGAGAAUCGCUUGAAGCUGGGCGACCGUGGUUGCAGCGAGCUGAGAUCGCACCACCACACUCCAACCUGGGCAGCUAAGCGAGACUCCAUCUCAAAAAAAAAAAGUAAGCAGGUUUAUCUGAGGGAAUUAUCAACAGUUCCCAAAAAUUGUUCCCAUUAUCCCUCAUCCCUGGAUCACUUCUCAUCACGGUCUAAUGGGGAAGAGAAGACUCCAAGACUCCAAGAUUAAAGAUGAAGCCUGACUUUUUUGACUCUCCAACUGCCGUCUGACAAAAUUAAGACUCCAAUCCCCAAAAAGGCCAGAAGUAGCAUCAAAUUCAAAAGCUACACUGUCAGGAGUGCAUGUAUCAAAUGUAGAAAAAUACGCAAGGAAGCACAAUACAUAUAAGAUGGAAAAAGGCAAUGAAUACUCUCACAGAUUACUUUCUCUUAAAAAAAACAUGUCAUUAAUUUUUAAUGUUAGGUCCCAUUACAGCAUCCUGAAUCAACAAGCAGACACCAAAGU
rnacentral:lncRNA from 1 species